rnacentral:lncRNA from 1 species
GGUAACAAAUAUUACCAAUCGGUACCUUCAUUAUUAGGAUUUAGAAUGUUGAUUACAAUGAACGAAAUCAAUCCUCACAUGCAUAGGGGGCUGUACUAAUUUAGCCACCUCAAUAACAUUUAACCCAAAAAGAAAAGGUUAAUUAAAUUUGCUAACUAAUACCCAGGUACAAAGAAGAGUUCAUUAAUUAAAAUAAAAGGAUACACUUAAUUCAGGGGUCAAAAUGAGUCUAGCCCAUUGCAGCUACAACAGAAAGUAAAAGAAACAAUGUGAGAUAUUGCCA